AAGUCGUAACAAGGUUUCCGUAGGUGAACCUGCGGAAGGAUCAUUAACACUUUUUUGAAAGCAUCCAAUAUCAACAAAUUACAACCAAACGGUCAACUAUCUCCUCCCUAUUUCGCACACCGGAGACGGUACGAGUAGGCUAACAUGUAAAUAACAAGCACAAGCUCCAAGCAAUUGCGCAUGCGCAUGUUAUUUUCAAACACAAGAUAACCCCUUUUAAUUAUAUUAUUCAUUUAAUAUAAACGAACAACUCUUCGAAUUUGUGCCCUUCAUUCUUCAAUGAAGAACAAAAACGAACUAAACUAAAAUAUACAUUCGAUAUAUUUUUAUUUUACGAAAUAAUAUAUAUUUAUAAGAACAACUCUUAGCAAUGGAUAUCUUGGUUCUC
rnacentral:misc_RNA from 1 species